GGCACAAGGGGAGACAGGGACGCUCCGAGGGGAACGCGGUCACCUCAGGUCCUCGGUGUUGAGUCAAUGGUGAGACCGGCCCAUGUGGC
rnacentral:ncRNA from 1 species